rnacentral:rRNA from 1 species
GACGAACGCUGGCGGCGUGCUUAACACAUGCAAGUCGAACGAUGAACCCGGAGCUUGCUCCGGUGGAUUAGUGGCGAACGGGUGAGUAACACGUGAGUAACCUGCCCUUGACUCUGGGAUAACUGCGGGAAACUGUAGCUAAUACCGGAUACGACCCUCGGCGGCAUCGCCAGGGGGUGGAAAGAAUUUCGGUCAAGGAUGGACUCGCGGCCUAUCAGCUAGUUGGUGAGGUAACGGCUCACCAAGGCGACGACGGGUAGCCGGCCUGAGCGGGGAGCCAGCCACACUUGGACUGAGACACGGCCCAGACUCCUACGGGAGGCAGCAGUGGGGAAUAUUGCCCAAUGGGCGAAAGCCUGAUGCAGCAACGCCGCGUGAGGGAUGACGGCCUUCGGUUUGUAAACCUCUUUUAGUAGGGAAGAAGCGAAAGUGACGGUACCUGCAGAAAAAGCACCGGCUAACUACGUGCAAGCAGCCGCCGUAA